CUUGAUCCAAUGGCCUGAAAGGAGAUGGAGAAUUAGCUGUCUCUUAUCCCAGAUCAAGUCUAAAAACAGAGGAGAAGCGCUUAGAAAAGCUACAAAGUAGACAUGAUUUGUCGAUAUAAUAACACCAUGUUAUCUUUACUGGUAACUAAAACCAUGAGUCAUUACAGAGCUAAGUAAUAAAGCUAGCAAGUUAACAUUAAUAGGAAGAAAAGGGAUCUUAAGGGAUAAGGAGAAUAAGCAUGUCCUCACAUGAUUUGAGUUUGGCUAGCUGAGGUCGUAUGGGAACUGUUGAGUCACAGCCUGAACCACUGAUUGAGCACCUGGGGAAAGGGCCUGGUCAGCCCUGGGAGCACAGGUGAAGGCAAUUAGCUGUGUGACCAGAAGGGGUGGAACCUGGCCACACCUGUCUUAGACCUCAUUUAAGGGCUGACUGCCCUAAGGAAAGGUCUCUUGUUGGGGGUCCUGCUCUUAUGGAGUUUUCCUUGCAGCAUCAAUCUUCAGAGACAGAGGUGGGCGAAGAAAUGUGUGCCUAACACAUAUGCACUUUGGGGCUCCUGCAGAAGGAAACAGAGUUCUGGAAACUGUUGUGAGAAAAACAUUCAAGACACCAGACUGGAUGCAAUGCUGCUGACUGGAAAUGAAGCCCCAGACAAGAUCUAGCUAUGUUUGAACCUGUUGGAAGAGUUGCUUUUUAUUCUCUGUCCUGGGAUGAAUGACAUAAAUUAUCUCCCUUUCUUAUUUGCUUCACGUUGAGAAGAGACUGGCUUGGAGUCGGACAAUGACUUAAAGAAGGAGCUGGGCAGGGAAUACAUCAGGUAUUCGACCUGCAGGCCUAUGAAAUGCAGUGUCAUCAUAACCCAAAGGGCGUAUCAUUAGUCACUGAAGGAAGGAAGUGCAAGCAUUCCUGGAGAAAUCAAUAGAAGGUCCUUGUCUAGUAACACAAAGAGAACAGCACCAAUGUUUAUGUCUUUGCCCUUCACACACUUUGCUCUUCCUUCCUCUCCAGUCACCUUUUCACUUUAUCCAGAAUUUCAUUUUCCUGAUUCCUAAGUAUAAAUGGACAGACAUCGUAACCACGACUCAGGCUGCAAUCCAGUCUUUUCUGAGAAAUAAAUAUCCAUCAGGCUCAAUGUUUCUGUAUGGAGGUUAUCUGAUUUGGCUCUUGCUAACUAAAAACAUAUGCAACUGGUUAUCUCCAUCAACACAGUUUAAUUCAGCUCUGGUCUGUAUUAGUGUGCUUUCUUGUAAUUAUGUCUCUUACUGCCAUGGGUGAACUGUGACUGUUAAGAUCAUGUUUAAAUAUGAAGAUCAAACAACUAGUCCAGAGGUUUCUAGCUUGAAUCUAAAGAUUUGUUAAGAAUACAAAAAUGUUUUGCCACGUUUUAGUUAAACAUAGUAAUUCAUCCCAAAAUACCACGCUCUAGUUAAAUGACGAAGUACUUUAGUAUAAGAUUUCAGAGUUUUACUUGAAUAUGGGGUAGUCAUACAAAUUGUCAAAGCUCCCUCUAUUUUCACAGUCCUGCACUGGACCUUUAUUUCACUGUUUGUGCCUCUUUUUACUCAUCCCUAAAAUGAGCAAAACAGUAGUAAUGUACAUCCAAGGGAAGCUACAAAGUACCACCAUCACUGCUGUCAGGAAAAUGCUCUAAAAUUAUUCAGCCGUAUUCAUAGCAAAAAAAAAUAAGGAAUUAACAAAAUAUGUUCAUGCAAUGCACGUUUGUCGGCUUCCAUGAGAAAACUGUGAAGCGUCAUGAAUAAUAUGGUUUGUGAGUGACUACUCUAACAAUCCUGUUUUGUACAGUACGUGAAGGAAAAAAAAAUAUCUUUUCAUGGUCAGUUUGACCCCUCUUCAUUCUGGCCCUGAUUUCUUUCCAUCCUGGCCUUUGAUAAGAAUGCAAAAUACAGAUUAAGGACAAGAAUAACUUUUUAGACUAUGAUAACAUUUGUAUUAUUAGAAGAGUUUGGGGUGUGCCCGGGAAGGCAGGAGGUAAAUCUGCUGAACAGUCUAAAAGCUUUAUUUAUGGAAACAUCCUUUUUUAACAACAGAGGAAUGAAGGAAAAAUACUAAUAAAAUCACAAUAAUCCCCAAGAUCCCAAAUGAGCCAAAUGAUACAUGUGCAUACAGAUGGGUGCACACUCAGAGUUAAGUUUAUCUUCA
ensembl:lncRNA